ACCUCAACCCCAGUGCUCCCCGAAAUUUAAGAAACUUUGUCUUCCAUACACUUUCUCCUGUCAAGGCUGAGGCAGCAAAGGAAUCACCUAAGCCACAGGUGAGGAGAAAGGCUCCAUCUUUAAUGAAAACGCCUUCACCUAAGCGCCUCAAAACAAGUGAAAGAACUUCAGAAUUGAAGCAAAGUAUCUUCAGGUACUUGGAAAGCUAACACCAUCAAGGGUGCCAGCACCUACAUUGAGACUGCUUUGAGAAGUUUUUGGCAUUGAAAGAGAAAUCAAUGCUCACAUGGGUGAUUCUUCCCUUCCUUCAUAAUCAGUGCAUUGAGACUGUCAACACAGAUUCCAGGUUUUUCCUCUGCACGGUUCUGGACAUCUCUUUCCUAGUAGUGUUUCCUGGGUUGGCCACUAAUUUUAAUUCUGCAGUGUUUACAACAUUGACUUGGGUGAAGAUUUACUUCCUUCAUUAAAUAUUUGACAUUUUAUCCUAGCAGCUUCCUGGGUUGAUACCUCUUUGUGAAAGGGGUGGUUAGAGGAGGAGAAGAAGGAGGAAAAGUGUGGCAUUAUAGAAAAUUAGAGAAAGCAGUGACUGUGAAUACCAGCAUGACUCCUUCACACCCCUAUGAUCUGUACCACGGUGACUGGAACUCAGUGAGAGGCUUCUUGGAGGACCUAGGAACCAAGAGAUGGGCUGUUCCAUUAGUCUUGCCCCUUCCAUUUUUUUUGUAUGCCUCUUCCCAAGACAGCCCAAGUUUCCAAAUAAACUUUGCUUCCUCUAUAAUAAGGACUCAAACUGGUACCCAAGUCAGAAAGACCUUGGCCCCAAUUUUGGGGACUAUGAGGAUGAAGAUAAAAGGAUUACUUACACCCAGAGUCUGUCCAUAUGAGAUAUCCCAUGGGGCAGAGAGCCUGCUCCCGGGACUGAAUUAUUGAUUUUAAACAGUGUUGCUCCAAGACCUCCCUUCUCAUCCUGACAAAAAGAAAUAUAACCAUUAUUUAUUGUAUUCAACUGGGUGGAGUUCAUCACCAGUCAGAGGACAACUUAAUGCAUCAUUACUUAUUUUGAGAUACCACCAUGAAGUUUAACCAAAAUAGUGUUAAGAGAAUUGCCAUCACUCCUGAGUUUCCCUAAACUACCAUGAGGCACUCAGAUUUUAGACAGAUAUAUAUUUUUUGUUCUCUCAGAACUGAGCAGCAAUGUUGUUUUAGGGAAACAUUCCAUGUGAAUGAUGAGGUUUCACUGUUGGGAGCUAGACUUGGGAAGUUGGAUGAAUUACACCAAUUUUUGUUGGCAGGUGGGAAACACCAAUUUAACUGAUGCAAUUAGGGUGUCGGUGUUCUCCAUUUCUUUCUAAUACACAAGAUGCUGACUUUGACAGAAUUUAUGUUUGUAUAUUUGUAAUCUUUAAUGGGAAAAAUGUAUAUAAAGGUGUUUUAAUAUGUAUGUAGUUUUUCAAUAAAUCUCAAUGCCUUGAAGGCAGGAUUUGCUGUCCA